AAUGAACGCUGGCGGCAGGCCUAACACAUGCAAGUCGAACGGCAGCACAGUAAGUGCUUGCGCUUACGUGUGGAGAGUGGGGGAAGGGUGAGGUAUCUGUCGAACUCUACUUUUUCGUGGGGGAUAAUGUAGGGAAACUUACGCUAAUAACAUAUACGACCUACGGGUAAAAGCAGGGGAUCUUCGGACCUUGCGCUAUUGUAUGAGCCGAUGUCGGAUUAGAUAGUUGGCGGGGUAAAGGCACACAAAGGCCACGCUCCUUAGCUGGUCUGAGAGGGUGAACCGCCACACUGGAAGAGAGAAACGGCCCAGACACCGACGGUAGGAAGCAGUGGAGAAUAUUGCACAAUGGGGGAAAGCCUGAUCCAGCCAUACCGCGUGAAUGAAGAAGGCCUUCGGGUUGUAAAGCCAUUUAGGUGGGAAGGAAGAACAGCAGGUUAAUACCCCGCUAUAAUGACGGUACCCAAAGAAUAAGCACCGGCUAACUUCGUG
rnacentral:rRNA from 1 species